GAGUUCCUCCGCCGCCCGUGGAAUCAGAAUCUCACCCUUUGUGGUGGCGACACACACUACCAUUUCAGGAAGAUGAAAGAGUACUACUGGCAGCAGCAGCGCAUUACAAUCAAUAUCAAUAUCCUCCUCCGCUGCGGCGGGGAAAAAUAUUAUCAUCAUCAGAAUCGGAGUCUCUUCCUGUGUGGGCUGACCGAAAACCAGCCAACUCUCCUCCGCAACCGCAACCGCCGCCUCAUGUGUCUAUUCUACGUCGAAUACUUGAUAAAUGCAAUCCUUCUGAUGCUCCUUUACACUUGCUUUUCGUCCCCUUCAUGAUACUCUGGGCCAUCAUUCAUCUGGCAGGGUUGUACUUGACUAUUCUUGUUUCAGCUGUAUACUUUUUCUCUUAUCACACGGGCAAUCAUCCAGUAGCCCAAGGUCGUACAAAAGUUGAAGAGAAUUAGGGAGAAGUAAGUGUUCAGAUGAAUGGUUGCCUUCAAGUUCUUUCACAAGUCAAGAUAUAGAGGACUAGCACCACUUUGUUACUUCAUAGUUAAUUAGGAAGGAAGCCACUAUUUCCCAAAUGCUUUUUAUGUUUUUCUUUU